UACGAAGGGUGCAAGCGUUACUCGGAAUUACUGGGCGUAAAGCGUGCGUAGGUGGUUUGUUAAGUCUGUUGUGAAAGCCCCGGGCUCAACCUGGGAAUGGCAAUGGAUACUGGCAGGCUAGAGUGCGGUAGAGGGUAGUGGAAUUCCCGGUGUAGCGGUGAAAUGUGUAGAGAUCGGGAGGAACACCAGUGGCGAAGGCGGCUACCUGGACCAGCACUGACACUGAGGCACGAAAGCGUGGGGAGCAAACAGG
rnacentral:rRNA from 1 species